GGGCAGACUAGGCAAGAGGAAGGAUCUCUACCUUGCAGGUCCUGAGGGAAGACAGGUGCUAAAGGAGAACCUGAACCUGCUCCCUGGUUUGGCUUCAGUGAACUGUACCAACCCCGUACUGGUUCCCCUGCUAGGCUGGAUUGCAGUGCUAACAGCAGUGUUGCUUCCCGUCACGCGUGAGAGUCUGGCAAGGCACGUACACAGCAGCACAGCGUUCCCCUGACUCCACACUUGGAGGAGAGUUAUCUGCAGAGGUGACAUGUGGAGGGGGCAUGUGGGGUCACCUGCCUGCACACCCUCCCCCACAGAGUUGCUACUUGGCUUGUACUCAGCAUGCUCACGUGGACUGAGCAUGCUCCAUAACACCGCUGAAGCCAGCUGCCCUCAUUCUGCCUCCCCACCCCCACUAUAGGGAUGCACAGAUCAUGUAAGCCAGGGAGAGACUCCAACUCACAAGCUCCAUUUGCAAAAAUAGGUUCUCAGGCCUGCUAGAUUUGAUAGCCAUUAGCAGUGUGGAAAGCUGUAACUUCUAGGUUUUUUCCCCUGCUCUUUUUGGACUUGUGAUGGGGAAUACAAACCUCACACUGGGUGGUGAGACAGGCACUAAUAUGGGCGUGGCAGUUGGGGAAUAGGGCAGAGGCUGGGGUUGGGCAAGGAGGGCAGGGACUUGGGAAGCAAGAGCAGAGGAUCAAACACUUUCUGAAUGUGGGUCAGGAUUCUCCCCACUUCAGAUAGGGGGAAAGUGAGGUGCCACGUGGGAGCGGGACCUGGCUGAUUUGGCUGAGCGUCUGAAUAAUCACUAUGGCAAAAAUAUAAAAGGUCUUAAGUGUCAAAAGAACAUUCACCAGGGAAUUGGAGAGUUCAAGGCUGGCCAGAAAAGGUGUAGUAUAUGGCACAAACCAGUAUGCACUCUGCCACCUCACUGGUUUUGGAGACGGGUAUGUCUCUUGCACUGGGGUUAGAGGAUCUUUCUCUCAGACACACAACUGUCAAUAGGUGGGAACAAAAUCCUAUUUGUAAUUUUGCUCACUGGCCCUGUCACAAACACCACCCUCCAACCACUGUGAGCUGGAACCAGGAACACCAUUCCACUGCUGCACAAGCAUCAUCUAAAGUCGCUUUCCAAGGAAUUAAGGAGAAGCCAGGAUAAAAAAGGAUUGAAAAUUCACAUUAUCACUACUAGGUGGGGUAAUAAUUCGCUAACCAAAAUAUGCAUCUGCAGCAUAGUUCAACGUACUGAAUCGUUUCAGAGACAGCGCUUAGUGACUGAUGUUUAAUAUACCUCUGUUCCAGAGUUCUUUUAUUAAUUAUGUGUUAUUUUUGGUUUAUGGUUUUAAAUGCAUUUGGUCAAAGGAAAAAAAACCUCAACAACCUAAAUUCCACAGACAAACAAAGAUGCAACAAUAGCCCACAGAGUCAUUGGAUACUGAUUCCUGCCAAGUGACACGUAUAACCUUUUGUAACCCUGAUUUAUGUCUAUAACUGGGCCAACAAGUAAAUAUCAGUCUUGUACCAACUUUCCUAUGAGUCAGACCUCUAUUAAAGUCAAGAGUAUGCUAUGUAAGCCAAAAUUCUCCUAUCUGCAGCUCCUCCAACAGACCCAGCCUCUCUAUGUACACAUUAAUUAGUAUAGAAACAACUGAGUCAAUUGACUGCUAUCCCUUGUAUUCUGUGUGGCUACUUAUGUUACUCAACUGUGCUCCCAUUACAGUGUCCAAUUAAAAUCACUGAAAACCUAAUCUCUUCCCCUCCUUUCAGCUAGGUACAACAUUCUCAAUGGAACUCAAACCUCAGGCCAGGCUGGGAUUUCAGCAUAAAGGUGCAAUAUGUGAGACUCAUUGGUAUUGCAUGAUUUUGACUCCAAUCAGGCAAAAGUCAGUAGUUUUUACUGAGUUUCACUUUGAAUUUUGUUUUGAAUUUGAAAUUCAAGGUGUUUGAAGCUGUGUGAAACAAAAGCCUGCACACUCUUGCAAAGUGAAACCAUCACAUGGGUAAAUCCAGGGUUUUUAUGGUCUAGUAUAACAGGACAACAGUUUUAAAAUGGAUCUAUGAAGAGCUGAUAUAAUAAGAGUUCCACCCAUUUAAAAAAAAUCAAUCUUGUAUCAGAAUUCCUAUUUCUUGGUAGCUUUUACAUGAUAUUGGUCAUGUUCACAAAAGCCUUUACCUGUUACGUAGCAGAAGUUAGUAUUAACUAACUAGUGGCUAGUGUUACAUCUUCCUUUUUUUUAUUUGAAAAUCAAAUGCAAAUAAAAUAAGAUCAGCCAAAAAUAACCACCACAAACUCAUGCAGAACAUUGGAUACCUGUAAGCAACUAUCAUCUUAAAAUAUCAGUAGCGUUCUGAUCAUAGAAGCACUUAACAUUCCCAAAGCAGUCCCUUCUGUUGUGUCGUGUUCAACUGCUGAGGUGGAUCCACUGCCUGGAGCCUGUGUUUAUUGCUCCUCUUAAUUGUUAGUGACUAGGUGGGCUUGGGUUACUUCUGUCAAGACCUGAACACAAUAGGAGCAUCCUAGAUGUUCUCAAGAAACAGAUAAUUAGUGUCCUGCUUGGUUUUGUUUAGAUGUCUUCAACAAGUCAUUAACAGUUACCUUCACCACAUCCAAAUCUUCAGGGAUUAAGAAUCUGGGGCUUUGGUAUGGUUCAGGUGUUGAGGCAAUCCUGAAGGGAAGUUACUUAAACCUGUAUCUACCAAAAGAAGAAGACAAAGUUUCAUUCACAAAGUGUGAUGCUGACUGCAGGUUAAGUUGAACAAGUGGAACUUUAUUAAACACUGUGGACUGCUCUGUCCACAUGCCUAGUUCCCCACGUUCACCUGGUGUCCCUUCAAUAACAGUCCCUCCCGGGAACAUGGGGCCCUCUGACUCUAGUUUCACUGAUCAUGAUACAGUGAAGAUAAAGAAUUUUGUACUUUCUGUAGAGUUGGGCCUACUAAAACUGAACUCGCUCUUGCAUUUGGAAGUCUAGUUAAGAUCUCAAUUGUUCUCAUUGGUGUGACCCUAAGUGCCAACAGGCAAAGGGUUCACCAUUCUGUAAAAGCAACUCUUAUCAGGACUGAUACAUUUACCACACCCAAUACAUUUCUGUCAUAGUAUAUCAGUAAAGAAGGGUAGGAGACAUUAAAUGAAAGCUUAUAUCAUACGGGUCAUCAUAAGAACUGUGAGACGUAUACAUGGCUAUCAUUCAAAAAUGUAUGUAUUAGAAAUAUUUGAACCAUGUAUUCAGGUAGGGUUGACAGAUAAAUCAAUAUUCCUUUGUCUGGGAAAGAUUUGUUUGUCUGCCUAGAUGGCUGAUGUAAAUAUAGCAGGACAAAACAAAUACAAUUGGAAGUCAUUUGCAUCUGAGGUAAACAGGAAGAACAA